rnacentral:rRNA from 1 species
UACGGGGGGAGCAAGCGUUGUUCGGAUUUACUGGGCGUAAAGGGCGCGUAGGCGGCCACUGCAAGUCAGUUGUGAAAUCUCCGGGCUUAACUCGGAACGGUCAAGUGAUACUGUCGGGCUAGAGUACAGAAGGGGCAACUGGAAUUCUCGGUGUAGCGGUGAAAUGCGUAGAUAUCGAGAGGAACACCUGCGGCGAAGGCGGGUUGCUGGGCUGAUACUGACGCUGAUGCGCGAAAGCCAGGGGAGCGAACGGG